CUAGCAUGUUAGGCUGUAAACCUGUUGAAUCUCAUAUUGAAACUAAUCACAGGCUGCAAAUAGGAGUUGGAGAAUUAGUUAAUUUAGGAAGAUAUCUGAGGUUGGUUGGGAAACUAAUUUCUCUCUUCAUACUAGACCUGAUAUAUCUAUGCAGUUAGUUUAGUCAGUCAAUACAUGCAUGAUUAUUGAGAAUCUCACUUAGAGGCAUUCUUUCGUAUCUUGAGGUAUUUGAAAUCAACUGGUGGAAAAGGACUUUUUUUUCCAAAGCAUGAUCAUCUCCAGAUUGAAGCCUUUACAGAUGCAGAUUGG
rnacentral:misc_RNA from 1 species